rnacentral:rRNA from 1 species
CCUACGGGGGGCUGUAGUAAGGAAUAUUGGUCAAUGGAGGCAACUCUGAACCAGCCAUGCCGCGUGGAGGAUGAAGGUCCUCUGGAUUGUAAACUUCUUUUAUAUGGGACGAAAAAAGGCUUUUCUAAGUCGUCUGACGGUACCAUAUGAAUAAGCACCGGCUAACUCCGUGCCAGCAGCCGCGGUAAUACGGAGGGUGCAAGCGUUAUCCGGAUUAACUGGGGUGAAAGGGUGCGUGUAAGGGUGGGUAGAAAUCCCCGAGCUUAACUUGGGAACUGCCAUUGUUACUAUCAGUCUUGAAUACCGUGGAGGUCGGCGGAAUAUGUCAUGUAGCGGUGAAAUGCUUAGAUAUGACAUAGAACACCAAUUGCGAAGGCAGCUGGCUACGCGGAUAUUGACACUGAGGCACGAAAGCGUGGGGAUCAAACAGGAUUAGAUACCCCUGUAGUC